rnacentral:rRNA from 1 species
UACGUAGGGUGCAAGCGUUAAUCGGAAUUACUGGGCGUAAAGCGUGCGCAGGCGGUUUUGUAAGUCAGAUGUGAAAUCCCCGGGCUUAACCUGGGAACUGCGUUUGAAACUACAAGGCUAGAGUGUGGCAGAGGGGGGUGGAAUUCCACGUGUAGCAGUGAAAUGCGCAGAGAUGUGGAGGAACACCGAUGGCGAUGAGCAGCCCCCUGGGUUAACACUGACGCUCAGGCACGAAAGCGUGGGGAGCAAACAGG